UAUAUGAAAAUAUGAAUAAUUCGAUUUGGUUUACCUAAUUUUGGAUAAACGAGAUUACAAAAAAAUUGAUAACCAAUUUUUGGUUAAUUCGGUUUUCAGUUUUAAGUUAAUUCAGGUUCUGGUUGUUUCGUUUCGGUCUCAUCUGUUUUUUGGUUUGGUUUAGGUUAAAGAUUUAGUUAUUACUCUUCUGUUUUUUGGUUUGGUUUGGCGCGUGAUGCGACGGGAAACACAGAUGUUGCCACGGUGUGCAUUGUUUGGUUGGUUCGAUUAUUAUCCUCAAUCGAACUCGAGUUCAUUGAUUAGUCUAUUUUAUUAACCAAUCCAUUUUCAGUUAAUCGGCUUGGUUUAUUUAGUUAGAUUGAUCGAUUUUGAUUGGAUUCAUUUAAUUUCAGUUAAUAGGCAAAACCAAACUUGGGCUAAAACUUUAGGUAUAUAUACACGAAAUGGAUGUAUAGGUACAUGGAAUGGACGUAUAAACACAUAGAGUGGAGGUAUAAAUAUGUAAUACAUGAGCUGAAGAUAUAAAAGCUAGAAUUAUUUGAAAAUAUUAAUGGUUCAGUUCAGUUAAUUUUGGUUAAACGAGGGUACAAAAAAGAUAACCGUUUUUAGUUAGUUCGGGUUUCGGUUAAUCAGUUUUCAAUUAAUUUAGUUUUUUUGUUGAUUUCAGUUCGGUUUUGGUUAUCACCCUUAGACAUUGUUAAUCACAUGACAUAUCAACUUUUUUUAUUAAAAGAACUAUAGAAAUACUAUACUCAAAUUAAAAAGAAUAAAAUACUCGUUUAUAUGGUGUAAUUUAAAAAAUAUAUAUAUUAAGCUACCAAAAAAUUAUGACCAUUUAAAAAUCAGGGCAGGGGGUUAGUUUUUUUUAUAAGAAGGUAAAGUGUAACUACUAAGUAAUUAUCUAAAAUUUGGUUAAAUAAGAGAGAUUAAAGUGUAAUCUAGAUGAGAGGAUUAAAUUGACGGUAUUUAAUCACUUGACAUUCUGUAGCUAUUAAACAUUUUUGGAUGAUGACAAAGUACGUUGGGCUUUAAUCACUUGUACACUAAGGCAUCAUCUACGUGUACCUUUUAAUCCACACGUCAAUUAUGAUCAAGACAACUAUCGAAACGUCGACAAAAAUGAGUAGGUCGUUAUGGUACUUUUGGAUUUUUUAAAAGAUUAUAGUUUAUAAGAUAUGGCAUGAAUACGUAAAAAAAAUAUAAGUUUGUUGUGGAGGGGGAAAAGUAUAACUAAUUACAAGUGAUUUAAGUGUAAUAAAAUAGGGGCUAAAAUAUAAUUAUUGUUUAAAAGACUAAUUUACCCACAUUUUAUGGGUGUAUUUAUAAAUUUUGAGAUGCCCGCACGAUGCGGUGGGUGCGACACUUUGCAUUGCGGAACUCGUUUCUAGUAGUUUUCUUAUUUGUAUAAUAUUUAUGAUAACGUUAUUGUGGUAGAUAUAUGUCAUAAGUGUUACACAUAUGUAAAGUUUUGUUUUUUUUAUCAAAAUUAAUAAUCAAAGACAAAAAAAAUUUUUUUAUAAAAAUUAAUAAUCAAAAGAAAAAAAAUAAAAGAUAAGUUGUUAUAAUUGUAAGUAUAUUUAUUUUAUUUGUUAAAUUAUAAAGUUUAAUUUUAUUCUUUAAAGUUCGUAACUUUUUUUAAAUAUCCACAUAGUACUCAUCCAAUAAACUUUAAGUUUAAAAUUUUCAUUUUUAUAAAAAUAAUAAAUAAUAGUAUUUGACUUGUAAGUACGUUUUAGACCUUUAACAUAAAUUGUUAAUUUUUAUUUUUUUACAGAUAUAAAAAAAUUAUAUUUUUUUUAUAAAAUUUCUGUUUUUUGUUAAAUAGGAUGUUAAGAGCUUAUAUCUUUAUUAACUUUAUAUCAUACUAUGUAUGUAGUCAAAUUGGUAAAGAAUUCUUUUGAAACUAACUAAUAUUAUCUAUAACAAAAUAGUUGAACUUAUAAUUUCUAAAAAUUUACAACACAACUUAGUAUUUAUAUAUUAAACAUUUUUAAAUUUCUGGAGUAUUUUAUUUAAAUUACUUGUUAUAAAAAUGUUUAUAAAAGAAUUAAUUUUUUAUAAAAAACAAAUGUUUUGUUUAUAAAUAAAGUAAAAAAAACUAUUUUACAUAUGUAAAGUUUGGUUUUUAAUAA
rnacentral:lncRNA from 1 species